AAGCGCGAGAGGAAAUGCGGCAGAAGGAGAGAGCAGAUGAACAGAAGUCUGACGAGAGGGAUGCUCUGACUUCAUCACUUUGCUCUCCCCUUUCUCUGUCCUUCAGUUUUUUAACCUUCUGCUGCACAGUCAAGCCUUCUCAUGGUUUUGCCUCCUCUCCUUUUCCACACACUUUAGUUUGAUCCCUCUUCCACCCCGGCAUGCCCGUGCUGGAGGGGCUGUGGAGUCCAGAUCUCAGGCUGGGUGUCGAAGGUGGAGGCUGCCCGGAUGAUGACGCCCCUCGCUCCCCGAUCUGGGGGCCCUUGAAGACCCCGCCGGUCACCUGCGGGGGCUUGUCUCUGGCCCUGGAGCUCCCGGCGCUCAUACGGCAGCUACGGGCAGCGUGGCGGGCGCGCAGAGGAGGACGACCGCGGCAGCCGGAGAGAUGUCAGGAUGGUGCUUGGGUGGAAGCUGGAAAGGGAGAAGCAGAAGAGGAGGAAGAAGAAGUGAAGCUUGACCAGGAAGACAGGAUCACACAUCUGGAAGAUAGCAGACGGACUGCGUGUCAUGGCGGCGUGUUGCUGGCUGAGAGAAGAGGCUCCUAUCCUUUAAUUGACCUGCAUGUCGUUAAGACCAGUGACCAACAGAGAGAGCUAGAGGCUGGCAGAAGGAGGAAGGUGAAGAGUCUGCUGAGAUUCCAGAGGUACUGCCACGCUUCCCGGCUGCUAAGGGGGUUGGUGCCCCGGACGCCCGAGUCUUUGCAUCUGCUGGACGACGACUACCUGGGCCAGGCUGCACACAUGCUGUCAAAAGUUGGCUCUUGGAACUUUGACGUUUUCUUUUUUGAUCGUCUUACAAAUGGUAACAGUCUUGUGACGCUGAUGUGCCACCUCUUCAACGUCUACGGCCUCGUUCACCACUUCCAGCUGGACAUGGUCAAACUGCACAGGUUCCUGAGCACAGUGCAGAGUGACUACCACUCCCAGAAUCCUUAUCACAAUGCUGUGCACGCGGCCGACGUCACCCAGGCCAUGUUCUGCUACCUGCAGGAUCCCAGGCUAGCAGAGCAGCUGACCCCACUGGAUGUGUUCCUGGGUUUGAUGGCGGCCGCCGCCCAUGACGUGGACCACCCUGGCGUCAACCAGCCUUUCCUUAUCAAGACGCGACACCACCUGGCGUCUCUCUAUCAGAACACAUCAGUGCUGGAGAGUCACCACUGGAGGUCCACAGUGGGCAUGCUGCGAGAGUCACGACUGUUGUCACACCUGCCUGCCGAUGUGUCGCAGGGAAUCGAACGGCAGCUGGGUUCUCUCAUCUUGGCCACAGACAUCAGCCGACAAAACGAGUUCCUGCUCACCUUCAGGGAACAUCUAGACAAUCAAGACCUUGAUCUUCAGCUGGCUUCUCACAGGCACUUUAUCCUGCAGAUUGGCCUCAAGUGUGCAGAUGUGUGCAACCCGUGUCGCGUUUGGGAGCUCAGUAAGCAGUGGAGUGAGAGGGUGUGUGAGGAGUUCUACAGGCAGGGUGACCUGGAGAGGAAGUUUGACUUGGAGAUCAGUCCUCUGUGCGACCAACGAGUGGACUCGGUCCCAGCCAUCCAGAAUGGUCAACUUUCAGGCCUCCUGUUGCUCGUCCGGCUCGCCAUCAUUAGCGGAACCAUCUCGCCGCCACGAUGCGGGCUUGAUAUCCAAGACCAUGCCAGAGCAACAGGUGGCGCUACAACCCCCAAGCAGUGAAGCAAUUUCACCCAAUCGGAAGACAGAAGAAAGUCAUUUCUGGAAAAAGAAAAGUGUUCUUCACUCUGCCAUGAAGUACGGUCUCAACAAGUUGGUGACUACAUGUUCCUUGAGGGUCGCGGGGGGCGCUGGAGCCUAUCUCAGCUCCAUUCAGGCGGAAGGCGGGGUACACCCUGGACAAGUCGCCACCUCAUCGCAGGGCCAACACAGAUAGACAGACAACAUUCACACUCACAUUCACACCUAAUAUUAGGCAAAUCUGCACAGUGGUUUUGUUUACUGUGUGUAGACUUUUGUUAACUGUGUGAAAAUGUCAAAUUUAGUGUGUAAGCAAUUGGAAAAAAACUGUACAUUCCAUCAUGGGGGCGGUAUAGCUCGGUUGGUAGAGCGGCCGUGCCAGCAACUUGAGGGUUCCAGGUUCGAUCCCCGCUUCCGCCAUCCUAGUCACUGCCGUUGUGUCCUUGGGCAAGACACUUUACCCACCUGCUCCCAGUGCCACCCACACUGGUUUAAAUGUAACUUAGAUAUUGGGUUUCACACUGUAAAGCGCUAAAGCUAAAAAGCGCUAUAUAAAUAUAAUUCUUUUCACAUAAUUCACAUCAUUAAGAAUGCAUUUGGCAACCAAAGCACCUUCGUGGCACCUUCUGACACUGUUGUUAAAAUUGUGUUUAAUAUUUGCCAUAUUUUGCUGUUAAGUUCUCUUCUGUGCUCUGAUGAUGUUGUUGUUAUUGUGAUGAGGUACUAGCGUCCCCUCCUUCUCACUUCCUACCGCAAAAUCUUUGUUUAUGCCAGUGUGUGUUUGUGUGUGUGUGUGUGUGUUUGUGUGUGUUUGCAGUCAUCCGAUGCCGCUGAUGUGCACGCUCAAAACACGCGUGUAGCAUCCCUCAUCGCCAUCACCACCACUAGGUAACGUCACAGCGCAUCACGCCGCCUGCCUCCUUUUUGUGACGAACUUGUGUCACGUGAUUAUUAUUAUUUUUUUUUUGCAUAACUCCCGCUUCUCUUUUUUUCCGUCGCGUGUGCGCUCUUGUCCACUGCAGACCAGACGUCCACGGAGGGUGCGGACGAAGAGAAGGCAGCGGGUACAGCAAUACAAGGUGUUGGAUUAAUCAGUGUGUGUGUGUUUGUGUGUGUGAGAGGUUCAGGGAUCUGAGCAGCGUGAUGGAGCAACUUGUCUACAUUGGGAAUGUGAGGAAGUGGGAAUCCCCAGCUAACGGCCCUCCAUUGAUAAAAAAAAAAAAAAGAAGGUAUGGCAGAUGGUAUGUGGCGACUGGAUAAGGCCCGCUAUCAUCACUCGGUCUUCUUUAGCGAGUUUUCCCAGAGCAGGUGAAACGUCUCAGACGUGGGUUUGUAAAUGCAACAAUGCAUGUUGACUGUCAACAAUUGUUUCUGAACACAACUUCUUCCACUCGCUCAUUAGUCACAAUAAAAAUGUCCAAAUAGUGGCGGCAAACAAGGCAGUCAACACUCCCUGUCCAUUUUUUUUACAAUCCCACAGCUUCUUAUC